UAAACAUGCAGUCGAACGAGAAGCCCGAGCUUGCUCGGGUGGACAGUGGCGAACGGGUGAGUAACACGUGAGGAACCUGCCCUGAAGACCGGGACAACAUCGGGAAACCGUUGCUAAUACCGGAUACCUUCGAUUGAUCGCAUGGUCGAUCGAAGAAAUGGAUUCCGCUUCAGGAUGGCCUCGCGGCCUAUCAGUUUGUUGGUGAGGUAAUGGCUCACCAAGACGACGACGGGUAGCUGGUCUGAGAGGAUGUCCAGCCACACUGGGACUGAGACACGGCCCAGACUCCUACGGGAGGCAGCAGUUAGGAAUCUUGCGCAAUGGACGAAAGUCUGACGCAGCGACGCCGCGUGCGGGAUGACGGCCCUCGGGUUGUAAACCGCUUUCAGCAGGGACGAAAAUGACGGUACCUGCAGAAGAAGCCCCGGCCAACUACGUGCCAGCAGCCGCGGUAAUACGUAGGGGGCAAGCGUUGUCCGGAUUUAUUGGGCGUAAAGAGCUCGUAGGUGGUUUGGUAAGUCGGGUGUGAAAUCUCCAGGCUCAACCUGGAGGGGUCAUUCGAUACUGCCAUGACUAGAGGUCGGUAGGGGAGUGUGGAAUUCCUGGUGGAGCGGUGAAAUGCGCAGAUAUCAGGAGGAACACCCGUAGCGAAGGCGGCACUCUGGGCCGAUACUGACACUGAGGAGCGAAAGCGUGGGGAGCGAACAGGAUUAGAUACCCUGGUAGUCCACGCCGUAAACGUUGGGCACUAGGUGUGGGGUUCUAUCGACGGACUCCGUGCCGUAGCUAACGCAUUA
rnacentral:rRNA from 1 species